CAGUGCAGAUGAGGAAACCAAGGUCCAGAGCAGUGAACCGAUUUGUCCCAGGCCCUCCUGGGCCUUGGCACGUAGUUUUGGGCUUUUAACAAUUACACUUUCUGGAAACAUUAAGACUCUGUUCCUACAUUUUCUUACAUCCUCCCUGUGCUGUGAAUUUGGAUCUGGAGUCAAACAAACCUGGACUGAAAUCCUGGCCCUGCACGCCUCCAGCGUAUGUGACGCCAGCCAAGUUACCAUCUCUGACCACUCUUCCCUUGCGUGGAAAAGAGAGGGAGGACAACAGGGGCUUCUUCGUGUGGCUGGUGUAGGAAUCCAACGGAAAAGACCUGUAAAACUACGUUCCAUGCAGUUUGCCAACUGAUUUGACCAAUACUUAUCAAGCACAAGCCACGAGCCAGACAUCCACCAGGGCCUGGGAGAGAAGGGUGAAGAAGACUGUCCAGGACCUCGCAGUGCUUACAGUCUAGAGAUGGGCACAGACAGGCAGGAGCACAGAAAGCCCUUGAAGAAUCACAGAGGACCAAAGACUCGGGAGGGCAAUGCUAGGAUGCAGGAAACAGGAGAAACGUGCCACUCUGGGAAUGCCACUCAACACUGACUUGACCCUGCUGCUCAGAAGCUGGUGAUUUGGGGUAAGUUGCUUUGCCUCUCUGAGUCUUACUUUCCCUAGCUUUAAAUUGGGCAUGGAUUAAUUACUUAAUUCAGUUAACUACUUAACUAAAAUAAAGGAGUUAAUGGGUGAGACGGUUCUAGAGGCUUCUGGCAGAGAGUAGUUGAUCAACAAAAGCUUGUUUCAUCUGAAUCCGCUGGCAUCUCUUCGGUGACGGAGGAGGAGAGCCAGACCCCUAAAAGGAGAAAGGUUAUGCCAAGCCCGUCAAGUGGGGAUAAAUGCAGAGCUAACUGCAGGCAUACGAGGCUCACACACACAUGCACCCACCGUGGUAGCUGUGACUACUCGUCUGCGGGAGUAUCUACGCCGCUCUCUGUCCAUUCACCUGUUGACUGCCGAUACUACGGGCAGGUCCUGCCUGAGCACCUGCUGACGUCACGUCUUCCACCUUCACACCACAGGUGUGAGGUCACCAUCGUCAUUACCCUCAUCCCACCAAGGAAUAAACGCAACUUGCCACGAGUCUCCGUGAGCCGAGCGGGGGCGCUGACACUCAGAGCCGGCCUGUCUGACCACGGAGCCGGCGGCUUCACCACGCGUGGCGGCCACAGGGAGCCCCACAGGUGCCCGGGGAGCAGACGGCAGCACCACUAAUUCCCCCAGGCUGGGUCAGGGCACGGGUUGGUGAAGGGGUGCCAUGUGGGUGGGGCCACGGAGCAAGUGAAUCAUCGGGGGCUCGUGGUGUGAUGGAGCCACACAAAUCCAAGUUCGCGUGCUCGCCCUGCGGCUCAACCGACUCUGUGACCUCGAGGGACUGACGGUGCCUUUCCGAGCCCUUGUUUCCUCAUCUGCCAAUGGGGAUGAAAUGGCUACAUCGAAAGGUUGAUGCAAAAACGCAAAGCAUAAAUGCGGGUAAAAGCUGUAGGGACAGAAAGCGGUCUGGUACGAAGUAGUGAAGCAGAACGUGAUGCGUAGGUAUUCGGCCCUCAGAAAUACAUGCGCAUGAGUAUGAGGACAUAAGUACCCGGAUGUCCAGGGCAGCGCCAGUCGCAAAAGUCUCAAACCACCCAAAUGUCCGUCUACGGUAAAACUGAAGGGCGGCCCUAUAUCCACAUAUGGAACUA